AGAGCGAACGCUGGCGGCAGGCCUAACACAUGCAAGUCGAGCGCCCCGCAAGGGGAGCGGCAGACGGGAGAGUAACACGUGGGAACGUACCCUUUGGUUCGGAACAACACAGGGAAACUUGUGCUAAUACCGGAUAAGCCCUUACGGGGAAAGAUUUAUUGCCAAAGGAUCGGCCCGCGUCUGAUUAGCUUGUUGGUGAGGUAACGGCUCACCAAGGCUACGAUCAGUAGCUGGUCUGAGAGGAUGAUCAGCCUCACUGGGACUGAGACACGGCCCAGACUCCUACGGGAGGCAGUAGUGGGGAAUAUUGGACAAUGGGCGCAAGCCUGAUCCAGCCAUGCCGCGUGGAUGAUGAAGGCCCUAGGGUUGUAAAGUCCUUUCGACGGGGAAGAUAAUGACGGUACCCGUAGAAGAAGCCCGGCUAACUUCGUGCCAGCAGCCGC
rnacentral:rRNA from 1 species